rnacentral:rRNA from 1 species
UACGGGGGGAGCAAGCGUUGUUCGGAUUUACUGGGCGUAAAGGGCGCGUAGGCGGCCACCGCAAGUCGGUUGUGAAAUCUCCGGGCUUAACCCGGAAAGGUCAACUGAUACUGCGGGGCUAGAGUGCAGAAGGGGCAACUGGAAUUCUCGGUGUAGCGGUGGAAUGCGUAGAUAUCGAGAGGAACACCUGCGGCGAAGGCGGGUUGCUGGGCUGACACUGACGCUGACAGCGCGAAAGCUAGGGGAGCAAACAGG